UAUAUUUGCAAAUAUUUAUUAAAGUACAACAUAACAAAUAUAGAUGUAAAACAAAUGUAUAAAUGAUAUUUAUCUUAGAAAUCAAGAGUGACUUAAGAAGUCAAAAGAGGCAACGACAAAAUAAAAUGUAUAGUUUUGGCGUGUUAUAAACAAAAUAAGAGAAUACAUAUUUUCACGUCUGGAAAAGCUUUUUUUGUUCCUAUCUUCAAGAUGAAGGAUGAGAGGCGUUUGCUAGCUGUGGAGCUUCACACAGAAGUACGAGCUGUGCCAAAAGCGUUGCAAAGUAUCUCCUAACUUUAGUUACCAUUGAAUCACUUUCAGUGGUCGGUCGAUGCUUUCAGAGUUUAGUCAGUCAAAUCUUGAAUGAGCAUUUUUGUUGUGGUCAUGACUACACUUCAAUCUCCUUGAAGCAGAAUAUAAUAGGUACAAACAAAAAAACAAGGCUCCUGUCCUGAAGUCCUCGGCAGUAGAAAAGGAAUCUAUCUGAAGAGGUGUAUUCAACACUGCGUCAAAGCUAAUGUGCUAACCCUAGCUUCUCUGAGAAGCAUUAGCAAUAUAAUCCAGCCAGUGAUAUAUAUUACUAGGUAGAGUUCUUUACAAAAAAUUAUUCAAAUGCAUACCAUAGCCACAUACACUGAGUGUACAAAACAUUAAGAACCCCCUCCCCCUUCCUUGCUCUCAGAACAGCCUCAAUUAGUCAGGGCAUGGUCUCUACUGACUUGCCUAGUAAAUAAAGGAUGGCCCAUGUUGACUCCAAUGCUUCCUACAGUUGUGUCAAGUUGGCUGGAUGUCCUUUGGGUGGUAGACCAUUCUUGAUACACACGGGAAACUGUUGAGCGUGAAAAUCCCAGCAGUGUUUCAGUUCUUGACACAAACCGGUGCGCCUGGCACCUACUACCAUACCCCGUUCAAUGGCCCUUCAAUGUUUUGUCUUACCCUCUGAAUGGCACACAUACACAAUCCAUGUCUCAAUUGUCUCAAUGCUUAAAAAUCCUUCUUUAACCUGUCUCCUCCCCUUCAUCUACACUGAUCGAAGUGGAUUUAACAAGUGACAUCAAUAAGGGAUCAUAGUUUUCACCUGGAUUCACCUGGUCAGUCUGUCAUGGAAAGAGCAGGUGUUCCUAAUGUUUUGUACACUGGGUGU
rnacentral:lncRNA from 1 species